UUGAAACACCAGUUCUCAUAGGACUAGUGAAGUUAAGCAAAGUUGAGCUAUUCUGUACCUAGAUGGGUGACCACUUGGGAAUACCAGGUGCUGUAA